rnacentral:rRNA from 1 species
GAUGAACGCUAGCGGCAGGCCUAACACAUGCAAGUCGAGGGGCAGCACAGAAACAGCAAUGUUUUGGUGGCGACCGGCGGACGGGUGCGUAACGCGUAUGCAACCUACCUUUAACAGGGGGAUAACGGAGAGAAAUUUCCACUAAUACCCCAUAACAUCGAUCAAGGCAUCUUGAUUGGUUGAAAACUCCGGUGGUUAAGGAUGGGCAUGCGUUGUAUUAGGUAGUUGGUGAGGUAAUGGCUCACCAAGCCUACGAUACAUAGGGGGACUGAGAGGUUAGCCCCCCACACUGGUACUGAGACACGGACCAGACUCCUACGGGAGGCAGCAGUGAGGAAUAUUGGUCAAUGGGGGCAACCCUGAACCAGCCAUGCCGCGUGCAGGAAGACGGCUCUAUGAGUUGUAAACUGCUUUUAAACAGGGAUAAAGCACAGUAUGUAUACUGUGUUGAAGGUACUGUAAGAAUAAGGAUCGGCUAACUCCGUGCCAGCAGCAGCCGCCG